rnacentral:rRNA from 1 species
UACGUAGGGUGCGAGCGUUGUCCGGAAUUAUUGGGCGUAAAGGGCUCGUAGGCGGUUUGUCGCGUCGGCCGUGAAAUCUCCACGCUUAACGUGGAGCGUGCGGUCGAUACGGGCAGACUUGAGUUCGGUAGGGGAGACUGGAAUUCCUGGUGUAGCGGUGAAAUGCGCAGAUAUCAGGAGGAACACCGGUGGCGAAGGCGGGUCUCUGGGCCGGUACUGACGCUGAGGAGCGAAAGCGUGGGGAGCGAACAGG